rfam:Homo sapiens chromosome 15, GRCh38 reference primary assembly.
GCCGGAUGUGGUGGCGCACACCUGUAGUCCCAGCUACUCUGGAGGCUGAGGUGGGAGGAUCACCUGAGCCUGGGAGGUCAAGGCUGCAGUGAGCCAUGAUUAUGCCACUGCACUCCAGCCUGGGCAACAGAGUGGGACCCUGUCUCAA